AACGAACGCUGGCGGCAUGCCUAACACAUGCAAGUCGAACGAAGGCUUCGGCCUUAGUGGCGCACGGGUGCGUAACGCGUGGGAAUCUGCCCUUUGGUUCGGAAUAACAGCUGGAAACGGCUGCUAAUACCGGAUGAUGACGAAAGUCCAAAGAUUUAUCGCCAGAGGAUGAGCCCGCGUUGGAUUAGGUAGUUGGUGGGGUAAAGGCCUACCAAGCCGACGAUCCAUAGCUGGUCUGAGAGGAUGAUCAGCCACACUGGGACUGAGACACGGCCCAGACUCCUACGGGAGGCAGCAGUAGGGAAUAUUGGACAAUGGGCGCAAGCCUGAUCCAGCAAUGCCGCGUGAGUGAUGAAGGCCCUAGGGUUGUAAAGCUCUUUUACCCGGGAAGAUAAUGACUGUACCGGGAGAAUAAGCCCCGGCUAACUCCGUG
rnacentral:rRNA from 1 species